rnacentral:rRNA from 1 species
UGCGUAGGUGGCGCGUUAAGUGAGGCGUUAAAUCGUGUGGCUCAACCAUAUCGAUGCGUCUCAUACUGGCGUGCUAGAGGACGGCAGAGGCAAGUGGAAUUUGUAGUGUAGCAGUGAAAUGCGUAGAUAUUACAAGGAACACCAAUGGCGAAGGCAGCUUGCUGGGCCACUCCUGACACUGAGGUACGAAAGCGUGGGGAGCGAACAGGAUUAGAUACCCUGGUAGUCCACGCCGUAACGAUGCAUACUAGACGUAUGGGGUAUCGACCCCCUGUGCGUCGAAGCUAACGCGAUAAGUAUGCCGCCUGGAAGUACGGCCGCAAGGCUAA